GCGAUGUUUCGUGACGGUGGCACACAGGCAAAGUGGACCAAACCAUUUCCUUUUUGAAGAAGUUACAGAAAAAAAAAGCUGUUGAAAAUGAACUUCACCGUAUGCUUCAUAGCCCUUACCUUUUUCCUGAUGAGCUCUGAUUGGCAGCCUUCGAGCAAUCCUAAAGUACAAGCGGGGAAAGUAUUAUUCGGCCACAGAGAUUGCUGGAGAUAU